AUGCUCAUAAGCAAACCUAUCCUGCCAUGUGACUGUGAUAGAUGUUGGAAAAUGUGAGCAAGAUCAUGAGUAUUGCUUUGGGGGUGUCUCAUCCCAGUUUGAGAGACACAACAGUUUUCAAUACAACA
rnacentral:snoRNA from 1 species